rnacentral:rRNA from 1 species
GAUCAAGCUACAAAGGGCGCACGGUGGAUGCCUAGGCGAUGGGAGGCGAUGAAGGGCGUGGACAGCAACGAAAUGCUACGGGGAGCCGCUCACAGGCUGUGAUCCGUGGAUGCCCGAAUGGGGAAACCCAGCGAAGAGCGAUCUUCGUUACUCUCUGCUGAAUUCAUAGGCAGAGUAGAGCAAACCCGGGGAAGUGAAACAUCUCAGUACCCGGCGGAAAAGAGACCAAGACAGGGAUUGCCUCAGUAGCGGCGAGCGAACGGGCACGAGGCCAAACCCGAGGUAGCAAUACCUUCGGGGGUUGUAGGGCUUGCGACAUGGUAUGCACGACACGAGAAGAACAGGCUUGGAACGGCCGGCCAAAGAGGGUGACAGCCCCGUAAUCGAUGUCGAGUGCAACCUAGCGAGUACCUGAGUACCGCAAGACACGUGUAAUCUGGCGGGAAUCUGGCAGGACCAUCUGCCAAGCCUAAAUACUCCCCAUCGACCGAUAGUGAACGAGUACCGUGAGGGAAAGGUGAAAAGCACCCCGAAAGGGGAGUGAAAUAGAACCUGAAACCGUGUGCCUACAAGCACUGAGAGCACGACGCCGCAAGGCCGUGUGAUCGGGUACCUUUUGCAUAAUGGGCCUACG